rnacentral:misc_RNA from 1 species
UUUCCGUAGGUGAACCUGCGGAAGGAUCAUUAAAGAGUAAGGGUCUUCUAGGCCCGACCUCCCAACCCUUUGUUUACCAAACCAUUGUUGCUUCGGCGGGCCCGUCCCAGGACCGCCGGAGGACCGUCAAACGUCCUCUGGCCCGCGCCCGUCGAUGGCCCCUAUCAUUAAACUCUGAACCAAACGUGUCCUGUCUGAGUGAUUAUUAUCAAAUAUUAAAGCAAAACUUUCAACAACGGAUCUCUUGGUUCUG